rnacentral:tRNA from 1 species
CGAAGAUCGGAGGUUAAAUUCCUCCCUAGCGCC